rnacentral:rRNA from 1 species
GUGGGGAAUAUUGGACAAUGGGCGAAAGCCUGAUCCAGCCAUGCCGCGUGUGUGAAGAAGGUCUUCGGAUUGUAAAGCACUUUAAGUUGGGAGGAAGGGCAGUAAGUUAAUACCUUGCUGUUUUGACGUUACCGACAGAAUAAGCACCGGCUAACUUCGUGCCAGCAGCCGCGGUAAUACGAAGGGUGCAAGCGUUAAUCGGAAUUACUGGGCGUAAAGCGCGCGUAGGUGGUUUUGUAAGUUGGAGGUGAAAUCCCCGGGCUCAACCUGGGAACUGCCUCCAAAACUGCAUGACUUGAGUACGGUAGAGGGUAGUGGAAUUUCCUGUGUAGCGGUGAAAUGCGUAGAUAUAGGAAGGAACACCAGUGGCGAAGGCGACUACCUGGACUGAUACUGACACUGAGGUGCGAAAGCGUGGGGAGCAAACAGGAUUAGAAACCCCGGUAGUCC